rfam:Canis lupus familiaris chromosome 2, whole genome shotgun sequence.
GGGGGGAGCAGGAUCCCGGCUGUGUCCCCAGCGCCCUGGGGUCCGGGGCCUGCGCUGCUGGAGUCGCGCUCCCGGGGAGCCCCCU